rnacentral:rRNA from 1 species
AUUGAACGCUGGCGGCAGGCCUAACACAUGCAAGUCGAACGGUAACAGGAAGAAGCUUGCUUCUUUGCUGACGAGUGGCGGACGGGUGAGUAAUGUCUGGGAAACUGCCUUAUGGAGGGGGAUAACUACUGGAAACGGUAGCUAAUACCGCAUAACGUCGCAAGACCAAAGAGGGGGACCUUCGGGCCUCUUGCCAUCGGAUGUGCCCAGAUGGGAUUAGCUAGUAGGUGGGGUAACGGCUCACCUAGGCGACGAUCCCUAGCUGGUCUGAGAGGAUGACCAGCCACACUGGAACUGAGACACGGUCCAGACUCCUACGGGAGGCAGCAGUGGGGAAUAUUGCACAAUGGGCGCAAGCCUGAUGCAGCCAUGCCGCGUGUAUGAAGAAGGCCUUCGGGUUGUAAAGUACUUUCAGCGGGGAGGAAGGGAGUAAAGUUAAUACCUGUGCUCAUUGACGUUACCCGCAGAAGAAGCACCGGCUAACUCCGUG